rnacentral:siRNA from 1 species
CAAAUACAAUGGUUCACCUGGA